AGCUGGAUGGUUAACUGACUGAGUCACCCUGACUCUAACUGAAACAUCAGCUCUUCCUGGGUCUUGGGCCUGCCAGUAUUCAGACUGGGACUACAUUCACCAUCAGUUCUCCGGUGGUCUCCAGCAUGUGACUGAAGAUCUUGGAACUUGUCAAUUUCCAUAAUCAUCUCUAGGAAACUAAACAAGCAGGAUUUCUAUGUUGCCUUCUUGAGGUCAAGUUUCUUCUCUGGGAAACCUCAGUCUUUUUUCUUAAGGCCUUAAGCAGACUGGAUAAGGCCCACCCACAG